rnacentral:lncRNA from 1 species
UCUGCACGUAGCAUCAACGAUGUACUAGAUUGGGGCGCCUGUUAUGCUCCUACAAUACUGCAAAUAAUGCAUCACACUCAAUUGCAAACCUUUCUUCAAAGCUCUAAUUACUAGAUGCAAUUUGGCUAUCUGGAUAUGAAUUAUGGACCCUUUGAAUGAGCACUUCGCAUGUCUUUGUUUGCGUUGCUUAUUAAUGUUUCUUAUGUUCGUAGCGACUAUCGUUUCGAACAUUUCAUUCGCAGCCUGAGAGUGUUGGGAGUCUGGUUCAGUUUUUAAGAACAUAGCGGGGACAUAUCAGAUAGAAACGUGAAGAAAUUUAGAAAACAGUUGAAUCUGUAUCAUGAUAUGGAAAAGAAACUGUGUUCCCAUACGUACGAAAGCUCUCUGACUUCAAACUCUUUCAAGUGGCCGUCAAGUACAUCAGAUAUUGAAAACAAAAGCAAAUGGAAGAAUCGACUUGUGUACCAAAAUCCACAAAGACGCUCACCAAAAAUGGUUGUUGAAACCAGUCAGUGUCUCGUAUUAAACCACCCUUGUUGAACAUCUAAUAUCAUCGCCGAUGGUGACUACAAUCAGUAAACCCAGUUACUAGCACUCAUGUGGCAUCUACAAUUAUAUCCCAGAAUAUUCUAAACCGAAAGCGUAACCUCCACGCUCUUAGCAGCUCUCUGCUGUAAUUGGGGUUUCCCCAUAGUAUGAACAUAUGAUGUCAUGGUAGCCGUGUCUCUGCAUGCCUCGGUGAGAAAAAAACAGGCCCAUAGUCGCCAUAAUGGUCGACAUUGUUCAGAUUUCAGGGUUCCAAGGGUAGGUUUUAUUGCGAAACAAGGUCUUCGUAACCCAAAGACCCAAAGAAAAGAUUCCUCUACCCUCGGUCGCCCUCUCACUCUCACUCUCCCAAACUCUGAGCGCUAGACCAAGAGCUCACAAAAUUUGUAUUACGAAAAAAAGGUGCUAAUCAAGUGAACUAAGCAGGUUAAUGGGGAACACCGCCUCAUCCUGGGAGUCCUGGGUGGAAGCAGGCUCGUGGCUCGGCGUAGCUGCGUAGCUGCGUAGCACGCAGUCAGAGAGGUGGUCAAAGUGCCAAUGCAGACCGAUUCCUG